rnacentral:tmRNA from 1 species
GGGGACGACUGGUUUUGACAGCAAGAUUAGUAAAAUUGUAAGCAUACCGAGGACUGAAAUGAUGCUCGUUAAACUUAUUUCAACAAUUUAAAUGGCGAAAAUAAUUACGCUUUAGCUGCUUAAUAAUCCGAAUUAUAGUAAGAUUCAAGCCUCGGCACACAAGGUGUGCAAGCUAAAUGUCCACGGAAAGCCUUGGUUUACGGCGUUUCAUUUCUGGGCAUCAUAAAAGUAAACAUAGAAAACUUAGUACUUCGAUAAGUUUUCGAAAUUAAAGAAGAUAAGCUAAAAGUGGAUCGUUUUUAGUCAGCUUUUAGUCGAAAAUUAAAUAAAAACUAAGUAUGUAGAAAGCUCUUGAGCUACUUGUUUGGACCCGAGUUCGAUUCUCGGCGUCUCCACU